CAGGUACAGAGGGGCUAGAAUCUUAAUACAGGAGAGGAGCUUGAAGUCUCCCCACUUUCCUUUAUAAGGAGCCAAGGCCUAGGCCUUUGCCUGAGGACAUGAACCUGCAUCCACCCAAAACAAGCAGGCUGCUGAACUCCAGGUUGAGAGCUCUGCUUAGAAGGCGGCACUGUUCUGCUCCUUGCUUUCUGCCGGGGAGCCCUGCCCUCUCCAUACCCUUGAAGGAGACACUUCUGGCUCUCACAUAUGGCUCUCAGGUGUGGAGCUGAGCAAAUCCACUCAGAGCCCCGGCCUGCCAGAAGCCAAGAAUGAGGUCAGGAAAGGCCCUCCAAUUCCUUGACCCACAGCAAGACUCCGGCUGUUGGCUGGCCCUUCCCAAGGGCACUGAAGGGGCCAUCUUGGGCAUUGAGGCCAUUCCCAAGUACUUCCUCGCUGCUGGUGAAAGAGACACAGAACUAAUCUCCUCCCGCCCAGCCAGACUGCACCUACUCCGAGUUCGCAGGAUGGAUGUGAGCAGAAACUCUAACCUUGGUGAUCUCUUUACCUGGAUUUUAGCCUGGGAAGCCCAGAAAACAAAUUCUGACUUGAGUUAAGCUAGAGGAACUGGGCUUGUGUGCUUAUGUCGUUCCCGUAGCCUGCUCUGUGACCCGGAUUUCUGCCUUUCCUACCCGACCGUCCCGAGAGCCACUGUCCCGCAAGGAUCCAGUCUGGAGGCCCGGCGAGCUGGAGUCCUCUCG